rnacentral:rRNA from 1 species
AUUGAACGCUGGCGGCAUGCUUUACACAUGCAAGUCGAACGGCAGUGCGGGCUUCGGCCUGGCGGCGAGUGGCGAACGGGUGAGUAAUGCAUCGGAACGUGCCCAGUAGUGGGGGAUAGCCCGGCGAAAGCCGGAUUAAUACCGCAUACGACCUGAGGGUGAAAGCGGGGGACCGAAAGGCCUCGCGCUAUUGGAGCGGCCGAUGUCGGAUUAGCUAGUUGGUGGGGUAAAGGCUUACCAAGGCGACGAUCCGUAGCUGGUCUGAGAGGACGACCAGCCACACUGGGACUGAGACACGGCCCAGACUCCUACGGGAGGCAGCAGUGGGGAAUUUUGGACAAUGGGGGCAACCCUGAUCCAGCCAUGCCGCGUGCGGGAAGAAGGCCUUCGGGUUGUAAACCGCUUUUGUUCGGGAAGAAAUCCCCUGGGCUAAUACCCCGGGGGGAUGACGGUACCGGAAGAAUAAGCACCGGCUAACUACGUG